GGACUUACAAGCUCAAAGCUAACCAAACAUCAAGGUGCUCAACCAAAAAUAUGAAACUUUUCCUUUUUAUUUUCUUUUCCAAAUUCAACUUCUUCUUCGAGUGAAAGCAGCUCUCUAUUCACCUCACACUCUUGAUUUAUGACGAAAACUUCAUUACCUCCUGCACCUAAUGUUCCUUGAAUCAAAAAGUUUGUGAGAAACCAAUAAAUAAGAACCCCAUAAUUCAAUAGUCAAACAAAUCAAUAAGGUGCAUGCAAGGAUUUAUUAUUAAU
rnacentral:lncRNA from 1 species